UUCAAUUCCGUUUGUGCCCAAUUUAAUAAUAAAAAAUUACUAACUGAGUCGCCUAAACGUAAAAAAACCAGCUUAGCGGCAGUUAAUACGGUCACGGUAUCCACCCCAAAUCCGAACUUGGUGGCUGCAGCAGUCUCUGUUAACACUGUGGUAUUCAAUGGGUUCCGUUAGCCGAAAGUGGAUGACGAAAUGUUUUGUGCCAA